UACGUAGGGGGCAAGCGUUGUCCGGAAUCAUUGGGCGUAAAGAGCGUGUAGGCGGCCAUGCAGGUCAGCUGUGAAAACUCGAGGCUCAACCUCGAGACGUCGGUUGAAACCGUAUGGCUAGAGUCCGGAAGAGGAGAGUGGAAUUCCCGGUGUAGCGGUGAAAUGCGCAGAUAUCGGGAAGAACACCUAUGGCGAAGGCAGCUCUCUGGGACGGUACUGACGCUGAGACGCGAAAGCGUGGGGAGCGAACAGG
rnacentral:rRNA from 1 species